CCUGCCUGCACUGACCACCUCUCUCCCCACAGAGUACAGCCGCUUCGAGUCAAAGAUCCACGACCUGAGAGAGCAGAUGAUGAACAGCAGCAUGAGCUCUGGCUCCGGCUCGCUCCGGACAAGCGAGAAGAGAUCUCUCUAUGUCAGAGCCCUGUUUGACUACGACCGGACCCGGGACAGUUGCUUGCCCAGCCAGGGGCUCAGCUUCUCCUACGGGGACAUCCUGCAUGUCAUCAAUGCCUCUGACGAUGAGUGGUGGCAAGCCAGGCUUGUGACGCCCCACGGCGAGAGCGAGCAGAUUGGAGUCAUCCCCAGCAAGAAAAGGGUGGAAAAGAAGGAGAGAGCACGGUUGAAAACAGUGAAGUUCCAUGCCAGGACUGGAAUGAUUGAGUCCAACAGGUCGAUCAAAACGAAACGUAAAAAGAGUUUCCGCCUCUCUCGAAAGUUUCCAUUUUACAAGAGCAAAGAAAACCUGGCCCAGGAGAGCAGCGGACAGGAACAGGGUGUGACAUCAAACACCAGUGACAGCGAGAGCAGUUCCAAAGGACAAGAGGACACCAUCCUGUCGUACGAGCCAGUGACACGGCAAGAAAUUCACUAUGCGAGGCCGGUGAUCAUCCUGGGGCCGACAAAGGACCGAAUUAACGAUGACCUCAUCUCCGAAUUCCCACACAAGUUUGGUUCCUGCGUGCCCCACACUACCAGGCCUCGGCGCGAGAACGAGGUAGACGGACAAGACUACCACUUUGUCGUAUCCCGCGAACAGAUGGAGAAAGACAUCCAGGACAACAAGUUCAUAGAGGCUGGGCAGUUCAAUGACAAUCUCUACGGGACCAGCAUUCAGUCAGUGCGAGCAGUGGCAGAGAGGGGGAAACACUGCAUCCUGGAUGUGUCUGGCAAUGCUAUCAAGAGGUUGCAACAAGCACAACUUUAUCCCAUUGCCAUUUUCAUCAAACCAAAAUCCAUUGAAGCUCUCAUGGAGAUGAACCGGAGACAGACGUAUGAACAGGCCAACAAGGUCUUUGACAAAGCCAUGAAACUCGAGCAGGAGUUUGGAGAGUAUUUUACAGCCAUCGUACAAGGAGACUCUCUUGAAGAAAUUUACAGCAAAAUCAAACAGAUCAUUGAGGACCAGUCUGGGCACUACAUCUGGGUCCCGUCCCCAGAGAAACUCUGAAGAUGUCCCCCACCUGCUUCCCUGUGAGCAGAAGAUCUCUGAAGUCCCACCCCACCCAAGCCCUCUGCCCCAAGGGGGGGGGAUAUGAAAACUAUUCCUGCCCCCUUUUUUAGAUCGUCGCAAAAUUGAGUUUUCUAGUCCUGUUUCUUUUGUUGGGAUGAACUCAUCUCAUUCAUCACGUGACUGUUCCCACCAUUCCUGCAUGGACCUUCCCACUGCUCCAUUAGAGACAGAUGAGAACCCAUUCAAGGUCGUUUUUUAUUAUAAUUAUUAUUAUUAUUAUUAUUAUUAUUAUUAUUAUUAACUAAACCAAGAAUCAAGAUGGGAGGAGGCGACCAAGGACUAAUGUUAAGAAACAAGUGAAACAAUGGACUCUGAGCACAUGAGCUAGUAUCAGAGCUCCAGGGGCAUUUUUUCCAAGUGUGACUGUCUAGCAGCUCUGAACAGUGCGACAGAAAGGCAGCAGAAAGCAUUUUAUUUAUCUGUAUAUGUAAUUUAUAUAUAAUAUAGAGAGAGAUAUUAUAUAUAUAUUAUAUAUAUAUAUAUGUACGUGGACUAGGAAACCUGAGGGACCUCUCUUAAAAGGUAUUGUAUUAUUGCAAGGAUCUUUUAGUUUCUCUGUCCCAACCACUGGGCGUAGGGAGUCCACUUGGGCAGGAGGAGCUCAAAACGGUACCAGGUGCUUCAGAAGAGUCUCCCUUCGGGGCCAGCCUCCUGCCAGCCACCCCAGGUCCAUGAGGCAGAGCAGACUGGAACGCUGCCUGCAGAAGGGACCAGAGGUCCAGCAAGGAGCAACAGCUGAUCUGAGUGAGGCUGGGAGAUGGAGACUGAGCAGGAGGCUGCACAGCAAGAGAAUGGAUGAUACUACAUAUUAAAUUGCACAUUGUUUUACACACCACCUUAUGUGUUUGCAUGAGAGGUUUCCUUUUGGUUCUAUUUUUUUAAUCUGAUUUUAAACCAAAACCAUAUUGUGUUGCUGUGUUGGCUUUUUUUUUUCAUUAUUCCAUUUUUCUCUUGUUAAUAAUGAACUGAAUGGGUAUAAAAUCCAGUUUUUUAACUUAUUUUCUAAGCUGGCUCUAUUGUAAAUAUAAUCUAGUUCUGCCGUGUUUAGUUAGGAAAUACUCUACUGGCCACAUGGAACAAAUGAAUUCUCUGUCCUGUGUUGCUGUGGAAAACCUGGGACAUUGGGCUGGCCCUGUACCUGUGGGCACAGGUGAAACGACCCAUUCUGGCUUGCGGCAGCACGUUGGCAUUCUCUUCUGCAUUAGUCACUGGCAGGAAAAGCCCCCAGCUGUGCCUUGGAUGGACGCUCACAAUUUUGCAAAUCAGUAACAGAAUUGAAAAACUUCUUCCCUCUCUUCCCUGCUCUGUGCCAAAUUCCUGGCUCUGCUGCAUGCAGGUGGUGGUGGUGGUGGCCUUCCCAGGGGCAGGGCCAUCCUUUCAGCACAGACCUCGCUGCUGCUCUGGGAGCUGGGGCUUGGCAGGUGAAUGUGUGGCCGCCUCGCCUGGUUAUGUCUCUGGCAUAAAUCCUCUUUCUGAAAUUGGGCUCUGCUCCCUCUCUCGGGUUCACCUUAGAAAUCUGAAUUGGGUGCCCUGUGCUUGCAGGAUGGUGGGGCAGGGGGAUACAGAGCUGCACCCAUCUGCUCUACACUGGGAUUUUUCAAGUGAGGCAACGGUUGGUGCUGGGACAGUUGGCCCCAAGAUGAGAAAUGUCUGCCUUUGAGGAGACUUUGGCUGCCACACUUGACUGGGGCUCCAUCGUGGGAACAGAGCCUUGUGUGAAGCUGGGGGGGAACUCACCCAGCCUUUCAGAAGGAGCUAUGUUGCUGGGUACUCGUAGUACAGGUAGAAGAGUGCUCCCACCUUACAAAGAACUGGUGAACGCUGGUUUUGAGACAGUGUCAAGCACCAGAACAAAGGAGGUUGCUGCACGAGCGCGAGCAGGUAAGUCUUGGCCCGUUCUCCCUCCCCCUGUUCCAUAGGGAUAAGUGAACGUGCGGGGUGCCGGUCCCCUUUCCUGAAGGUAACAGUUAUUAGUCUGUCAGUCGGUGCACGGUGUGCACAAGCCAGAGUUUUCAGUGUAAACGAGGGCUGCUGUAAGACUGUACAUGUAUUGUCUGGUGAGAAGCUGUCUUUACUCGUCCUGCAUCACAAGGAGCCCUGCAGGGACCGAGCAGCUUCCCGGGACAGAAAGCAGUGCGGCAGAAGAGAUGCGGCCGCUAGCAUGGUGGAGGGCAGGAGGACUCUGCUGUCAGUGGGACCGACCCUAAAGGAGCAGACUUUGGCAAUGGAUUCCUGUUCAGCAUCAAGCCCCCUGCCCUGCUGGUCCUGCUCCAGCUGCUAUAAACAUCGGUCCCUGGAGAAGUGGACCUGUCUCCCUCUCAUCAAGUCACGUGGAGAAAAAGAUGAUGUACUCCAUGGCAUAGCUGACAGUAUCAAAUCGAUCAUGACAACACUAGUUGGUUACCAGUGUUUCUUCCAAGGAGACAUAUAUUUUUAAUAAACAGAGAGUUGCAAAGAACUGU